GGGAGACAGAGGCAGAAGCCAGCAGGGAGGUGCCUGCAUCCUCCAGACGAAAGACGAUACAGAUACGCUGCAAGACAGGGGCCUGAAGGGAAGCAACCAUCGAAACAGAGAGAGCAAACGGGGGUCUACUUACGCACUCCAGGCCAGGAAGAAGACAGCAGUCAAGGUGUGGACUGCCAUGGGCAGACUGGUCCAAAGUUUUGGAGGCAGAGGCAUUUCCUGAGACCCAGCUUUGGAGUCCUUCUGCUCCAGGCAGACCCUGUCAAGUAACUGGAACUGUCAUGCAAACUGAGGCAUAUGUGCCAUUCCUGGCAUUAACUGUAAAGUCCGGGUGGGACUUCCUUUCACUUAUUCAACAAUGGAGGCACCAGGAACUACCUGCAAAGGGCACGGCAGAGGGAAUUCGUGCUUAUGCGAGGAUGAGUCAGGUGACCGCUAAGACCCCUUGAAGAGCCCGUGGUUCAGAUGACGGCUCUCCCUGCUCCGAGCAUGCGGCCACCCACGACACAGAGAGAAAAAUCCAGCCCAGCCUGGGUUAAAACGUGCGAACUAAAUCUUUCUGAAAACGUCUCCUAUGCAUUUCUUUCCCCCUUAUCUUUAUUGGCCUCCUGAAAUGCCUUAUCUGCCCAGGCAUGAUUCUGUCCUCAAUCUCUGUCUAUGAGCACAAUUACCAUUUCUGCUUCUUCCACAAGGUAAAAAUGAAUCAUGAAAUGCAAGACAUGAACUUACCUUGUCCACUCAGCCAUAGGCAGACUGGCUUCGUCUCCAAAUGGUGCACUCCCCCACAAAAAAUCACAGCAGACGGUUUUAUUCUUCAGCCCAAAGCACUUAGCAUUGCGGGGAGACAUCUGCUGCAGACAAAUCUUGGGUCUUUGGAGCUUUAAUACUCUAAAAUUUAUUCCUCUCCACCACCUGGACGCUCAGGGGUCCAUUUGUGGACUUUUCCACCUAAUGCUGCCUUGCAAGCUAAUGGGCAGUUGGUUCACAGGCAUGUAAGUUGCAGCUCAUCUGUUAAAACCCCUACAUCCGUAUUGCAGCAGGAAGGGGAGAGAAUUAACCAUCAGCUUCUUGUCUUACCUUUAUUAACUGCUUCAACAAACAAAUACUAAGCGCCAGAUUCGAUGCUAUUUUCUAGAGUAGGAUCUAGAGGUAGAAUAAGGAGUAAGAAAUAGUUUCUUUUACAACCUGGGGUUCAUGAAUGGGCUUUAGAAGGUCUAUGUAUCUUU